rnacentral:rRNA from 1 species
CCUACGGGUGGCAGCAGUGGGGAAUAUUGGGCAAUGGGCGCAAGCCUGACCCAGCAACGCCGCGUGAAGGAAGAAGGUUUUCGGGUUGUAAACCUCUUUUCUCAGGGACGAAGCAAGAGACGGUACCUGAGGAAUAAGCGACGGCGAACUACGCGCCAGCAACAGCGGCAAGACGGAGGCGGCAAGAGUAAGCCGGAUUUACUGGGUGUAAAGGGUGGGUAGGCGGGACUGCAAGUCAGAUGUGAAAACCACGGGCUCAACCUGUGGCCUGAAUGUGAAACUGUUGUUCUUGAGAACUGGAGAGGCAGGCGGAAUUCCUAGUGUAGCGGUGAAAUGCGUAGAUAUUAGGAGGAACACCAGUGGCGAAGGCGGUCUGCUGGACAGCAACUGACGCUGAGGCGCGAAAGCGUGGGGAGCAAACAGGAUUAGAUACCCGAGUAGUC